rnacentral:rRNA from 1 species
AUUGAACGCUGGCGGAAUGCUUUACACAUGCAAGUCGAACGGCAGCACGGGUGCUUGCACCUGGUGGCGAGUGGCGAACGGGUGAGUAAUAUAUCGGAACGUACCCAUUAAUGGGGGAUAACAUAUCGAAAGAUGUGCUAAUACCGCAUACGCCCUGAGGGGGAAAGCGGGGGAUCUUAGGACCUCGCGUUAUUGGAGCGGCCGAUAUCGGAUUAGCUAGUUGGUGGGGUAAAGGCCCACCAAGGCGAAGAUCCGUAGCUGGUCUGAGAGGACGACCAGCCACACUGGAACUGAGACACGGUCCAGACUCCUGCGGGAGGCAGCAGUGGGGAAUUUUGGACAAUGGGGGAAACCCUGAUCCAGCCAUUCCGCGUGAGUGAAGAAGGCCUUCGGGUUGUAAAGCUCUUUCGCAAGGGAAGAAAACUUACAUUCUAAUAAAGUGUGAGGCUGACGGUACCUUGAUAAGAAGCACCGGCUAACUACGUGCCAGCCGCCGCCGUAA